CAUUUUCAUCGUGGCGAUCGCUGGAGGAAGACAACGAGACUUCGUCGAACACGGACGAGCGGGCCUGACCCUUCGCUGCCUGUGGAGUACAUGCGACCUGCGAGCGUCACCUGGUGCGGAUGAAAUCACAUGGAGGCCACAAGAAAUCAUAUCAAGCAAAUUGUUGAGUAUCGAGUGAAAAUUGAACACGGACUCACUUCACCGGAAAUCGCUCUGCAAAUAGUUUAAAAAGUCCUUUCUACUACUGCUGCUCUGUACACUGACCCCUUCACCAGGAAUCGCUCUGAAAAUAAUUUAAAAAGUCCUUUCAACUACUGCUGGUCUGCACACUGACCACUUCACCAGGAAUCGCUCUGAAACUAAUUUAAAAA